AACGAACGCUGGCGGCAUGCCUAACACAUGCAAGUCGAACGAGACCUUCGGGUCUAGUGGCGCACGGGUGCGUAACGCGUGGGAACCUGCCCUUAGGUUCGGAAUAACUCCCCGAAAGGGGUGCUAAUACCGGAUAAUGUCUUCGGCCCCAAGAUUUAUCGCCUUUGGAUGGGCCCGCGUUGGAUUAGCUAGUUGGUAGGGUAAAAGCCUACCAAGGCGACGAUCCCUAGCUGGUCUGAGAGGAUGAUCAGCCACACUGGGACUGAGACACGGCCCAGACUCCUACGGGAAGCAGCAGUGGGGAAUAUUGGACAAUGGGCGAAAGCCUGAGCCAGCAAUGCCGCGUGAGUGAUGAAGGCCUUAGGGUUGUAAAGCUCUUUUACCCGGGAUGAUAAUGACAGUACCGGGAGAAUAAGCUCCGGCUAACUCCGUG
rnacentral:rRNA from 1 species